rnacentral:lncRNA from 1 species
GAAGAAGUACUUGAAAUAAGUUUUGCUAUGUCCACUGGAAGCAAGUCCCUGAGAAAACCAACCCAUCCCGUUAGCCUAGCAGAUGAAGCUUUCUGAAAUCUUAAUCAACCAUAAGGAGUGUGGACCUGGAGAACCGCUAGAUAUCCACCGAUGCUGCUCUCCUGCCUUUUGAAGUGUUUCAUGGUGCUCUGGAAAGGAUUAGAGCAAACCUUUGGUUUUAUUGGCUGCAGGUCGGCUUUUUGCAGCGCCAAGCUGUAGCCUGCACC